rnacentral:rRNA from 1 species
GACAGAGGGGGCAAGCGUUGCUCGGAAUCACUGGGCGUAAAGGGCGCGUAGGCGGGAUGGCAAGUCGGUCGUGAAAUCCUUCGGCUCAACCGAAGAACGUCGGCCGAUACUGCCGUUCUUGAGGGAUGCAGAGGAGAUUGGAAUUCCCGGUGUAGCGGUGAAAUGUGUAGAGAUCGGGAGGAACACCGGUGGCGAAGGCAGCUCGCUGGGACGGUACUGACGCUGAGACGCGAAAGCGUGGGGAGCAAACAGG